AAAAAAAACCUCAAUGAAGAGAGAGAAAUUCUGUGCAGGACUGGGGUCAAUUUACGACAAAUACUUUAUAGCCAGGCUUGAAUCCUAUGCAGGCAGAGGAAAUUUUUAAGGAGUUGCUUAUAGUUUCACUCCCAUGAUAAUGGAUCCUUCUGGCAGCAAGGCAGAAGAAAUGUGCUUACUUCAUACUAUGCAGAAGACCCUGGAAACUCAGAUUCACCACCUGGCAUAAUGACUCCAGAGAGACCAAACGUAACAGUCACCAGUUGGGCUGCUUUCUUUUCCAUUCCAGUUUCACACAACAAAGGGAUCUGCAGAUUUUAUUUGUUAUUUAUUUAGACUCUAAGAAAGCCCGGUUUAAAAUAUUAUCCUGUCCAGUAUGCGUUUCUGCUAAUGGCAGCUCAGAGUAAAUGUGCUGUUUUCCCUCCCUGAGACUGUGAAGUAAGGUCGCCCACAGUGUAAACACACUGAAAUACGCAGCAAUAAUCAGAAUCAUAAGAUCACAGAAUGGCUUAGGUUGGAUGGGCCUUAAAGAUCAUCUAGUUCCAACCCCCUGCCAUUGGCAGGGCUGCCACCCACCAGCUCAACUGCCCAGGGCCCCAUCCCCACUGGCUUUGAGCACCUCCAGAGAUGGGCACCCACAGCUCUCUGGGCAGCCUGUGACAGCGCCUCACCACCCUUUAAACAAAAACUUUCUUCCAAACAUCUAACCUAAAUCUCCCCUCUUUUAGUCUAAAGCCAUCUCCCCUUGUCCUGUUGCUAUCAGACCUUGUAAAAAGUCAAUCUCCCUCCUGCUUGCCAGUUCCCUUCAAUUAGUGGAAGAUUGCACAAGAGUUUAGCCUUCUCUAGUUAAAGCUAGUGAGGAUUUUGUUGAUGGGAGCUGGCUAUAAUGGAAUACAAAUCAGGAACUAAAACAUUAUUUUUUGACUUUGAGCCAAAUCUAAAAGAUACUAUAGCUCUGCACCAGUCCAAAGCUGCAAGCUCAAAAAGCUUCACUUCCUUGCACCUACUUUUGUGUUUGCCUGACAUGCUGAGACACUUUUCCAGGUGGAUGAAGCUCUCAGCACCUAUAAAGAGCUACAGUAUGGCCACGUCUGUCUAACUGAGCCAGAAUGUGACAAGUCCUUGUGCAGUUUCUCCAGCCUGUAGACGUUACUGGAGUGAAUGGAAAGUCUCUGGGUAAGUUUCCUUGUUAAAAUGCAGUUAUAGUUCCCUUUGCCUUUAGGACUUUGGAAAAGAAAGGGCUUGUGAUGGUUGUUUUCCAUGUAGUGGUGGUACUGCUGAGGCUUCUUUCCAGCAAGUGGAUGACCCAGGUUUAUACUCGUCUGAGCAGGAAAGCCCCUUUUCCAAAUAUUUCAGGCGAAUAUCCUAAUCAGUAAGAUGGGAAAUCAAAGAAGGAAGCAGAUUAUGAUGUUUUAAAGGGGAACACCUGCAUCUAAUGCCUUCUCCAGGGACUGCACCAUAAGCAAGAUCAUGUUUGAAUAGCACAAAUGCUAUUCCUCUGCCGCUGUUUGAAAACAGGAUAUGAGAACGAGACUCAGUUACUCAACAAGACCUAUGGGUAUCUGGUUUUGGGAAACUUCUCUGGGCUGGGUCUCCAAAAGUUCUGCAGCCUGUUGACCGGCAAGAAGCAUCCCUGCACUAUGGGGUGGCCACAUUUAAUACUUCCCCAGUGUAACACAGGGCACAAGCCUCAGCAGUGUUUCCUAAUUUAUAGCUCAAGGCAGCUCCCUGCUCUGGCACUCAGGCGGUCUCUACUGGGUUCCAGAGGGCAAUGAGCAAACUGAGGGCCUAGGUAUGUAAUCUGGGGUUCUCAGUUGUCCAGUGCUGCUGGACAGGUAAAAAACAGGUGUCACAGUGACCAACAGUGUGGAUAGACAGCAGGGUGAAAGGGUGUGUGGAGCUCCCUUCUUUAAUAGCGCUGCAGUGACACAUAUGUUAUUAGCAUGUGACUGGAUAAAAAGUUUGAAAACAAUGGGCUGCUGAUUGUUCUCCUCACUCUUUAGGUCUUUUAGUUCAUAGCACUCAAAGAGUGUACUGUCUACCUUAAAAUAGAAUAGAUAUAGGUAUUAAAAACAAACAAAAGAAACCAAAGGAAGAAAAACCUCAUCAACCAACCUAUCGCUCAUUAGCUGAGAAAAGCAGCUUUAUGUUACUGUCCAUUUAAGACCUUACUAACGCAGAUUUCUGUAUAUAUACAGAAUUACUUGUAAUGAGUAAUGGGCAGUAUAUUUAUGGAAUCAAUAUUAAAUUGGCCCUUAAGUAGUUUAAAUUCCUUUGAAGCAGAUUCACAAGGAACACUAGGGCACUCUGACAUCCAGUUGGUACCAAGCUGGGGUCAACGUUACCGAGAGUGUAACUAAUUUUAACACAUAGAUAGACCUGAUUGUAAGAUGGAAACUCAUCUGACCUAUUUUGGAUUUCUAGUUUUGGGUAAGAUGUGCUAUACACUGAAGUGCCUCUUUUUCACAACUCAUUUUUCCAUGGCUUACUCACUGGAGACUUCAGGUUUUCAGCAUCUGUAGUUAGUUUGCAUAAAUCCUACCUCAGAGUCCAAAUAGGAGCUGGGAAUAUCAUCACUAAGUAUUAUGCUCAUGUUGCAGUGCGGAGUCUGAUUUGUUGGAGCUGGUAAUAGGUAACUGUGCCAGGGUGUGUUCCUGUGUUCAUUUCAGGAUAAGCAGUUUUCUGCCUUCUUUGAAACAAUGUGAUCACUACAGAAGUCAGCCCUACAAAAUCCAGGGCCAAACUUUCUGAAAGGGCUUCAAUACCCAUCUCCUCUGGAAACGAUGAGAAAUAGGUGCUUAAUUUCUUCUUGAGGCGGGGACUGUUUCAUGUCCAUGCAGGGCUGCAUUUAAUGUCAGGGGGCUUCGAGUUUAUGCAAGUAGUGCUCUUUCAUAAAAUCCUGGUAUCUGAUUGACAUAUAUUUGAGCUUUGCCUGUCACUUCAAAUCCAUUCUCAACUUUUGUCUUGCUAUUCAAUGUCACUUCUAGGUUGAAGUGCAUUUUUCCGGCAGCUACACAGCAGUUUCUAUGGGUUAAUCAUAGGAUGGCUUGGGUUGGAAGGGAUCUCAAGGAUCAUCAAGUUCCAAACCAAGUUAACACAUAUUUUGUAUGAAAUAGUGCAGUAAACAAAUUCAUAAUGUGUCUAUUGAAAGAAACUGUGAUAUAAGUUGAUUAACCAUUGUAUCCACAUCCUUAAGGGAAUUUCAAUAAAAGUCACCUGAUUCUAAAGGACCCCUAACUACGUAAAUGAGAAUAGGAUCACCUUUAAGCAUCAUGAACACUGGCUGAAAUUUAAUGGUCCUGACUUAUACAGUUGUGUAAAGAAAAGGAUUUUAAUUUUUCUUAUUGCUGUUAUAAUUCAUGAAAGUGUUAGAGCUCUCACAUCAGAGUAAAAAUGUCACUAAAACAUCAUUAGUUUGGGCAGAAAUAUAAUUAGUAUAAUGGGCAUAUACACUCGGAACAGCUGCUUUUUUGACAACAUUAAAUCCAUAGUCACUUUUAUGCAGAUGACCAAAAAUAGUAAUAAUAAUAGUAUUACUUUUCUAUCAUGAAAUCCCUUUCACCAACACAGCAGAGUGUGCAGAAUUGUACAUUCUAAGACCUGUUUUUUAAGAGGUAAGAAAUUCUGAAUUGAAACACUUCCGGAAAAAAAAAAAAAAAAUCACUACUUAUAGGAAAACAAAGCAAAACAAAGAGACAAACCCAUGACGGUCCUACAUUCUGCUACGAUUCAGCUCCUUCAUCACUGGCAAGAUAUUUGCUCCAGCAUGGUUUUCUCAGAUAGAACAGGCUCUCUGUAACAUGCCCAGGCAUAACUGACCUGGGGGAGGACAUUCUUACCCCAAUCCCUAAAGUCUUCCGAGGCCUGACAUAUCUUUGACCUACUUUAGAGUGAGCAGGAUAUCUAAUGCAGUUUAGAUUCAACAGAUGUUCAAGAGAUAAAAAUAGAGGAAGUGAGACGCAAUUCUUCACCAGAAAAAAUGCAAUGCCUAACAUACAAACACAUUCCAAUACAUUCUCAAUCUUCAAAAAAUUCUUGGUAUUUUGAUGUUGAAUGUCCUUGCUGUACCAGGCAUGUUACUCUUCUGUCCAAUAGGAGUUUCAGAAGAGGUCAUAAAAACAUCCUGGAGUCUUGUCUUUGCCCUUGUAUGCAAUAACAUGACUGCAUGCCAAUGUAUAUGUUAAAAAUACAGAGGAAGAAACAAAGAGACCGAGUCAGUGCUUCAAAACAACAUCUACAGCCAUGAUUAGAGCAGUCCUCAGAGUUCAGCUCUCCAGUCUGCUCCAUCUGGAGAACGUGAAAUCCCUUGUCACAUCUCACAUUGUUUCAGGAAGUGAUGGCAAAAGUCUGAAGUGGGCUCUGGCCAAGGCCAUGGCCAUUCAGCAAGGCCAGCAGGCCUGGCUCCCUGCCUGUGGACAGAUGCACAGCUGACAUCUGUGUCCUAUUUGGCCCUCACUGCUGGAGUAACCCCACCGAUAGGCUCUCAGUCUCAGGCAGGGAAAGGUUCUAAUCAAAACAUUCUAUCCACAGUAAAGAUAAAAUGGAGUGGUUUUGUGCAGCUGUGUGUGCAUGAGUGCAUUCGACUGCUGAAACUCUUAGAAAGAUUAGAUACAGAAUAAGUAAUUUUUCCCCUUUUUAAAAUUUCACACUUAAUUUAAAGCUAUGAAUUUCCAUUUAAAACACUUUGUUCACCAUGUGAACCAUAAACAGUUUAUGCAAUAAUGCAUCCUCUGAAACCAAAACACUGUUUCUGUGAGUAGUGGACUGGCAUGGUGAAUGCAUGAUCCGUGUAUAUACAGAGUGGUUAAACAAAUAAGCACUUGUGGUUAUCUAAAUAUUAUGAAGAGUUAUCUUCUGCAAAAGGCAUUUCUAUUUUUCUUCUUUUGUGUAAUGACUUAAUACCAAAAUAUUAUUAAAUACAUUAAAAAACAAAACAAAACAAAACACCCACAGGUACAUAUUCUGCAAGUCAAGAAUAUAUUAAAUGCAUUAUGCUCUGUUUACCAGAAGUAAUGAUCUUAUGCUGACACAGUUCAUCCUAAAAAUAUGCUUUCUAAAAUAUUGUCUCACAAAUGAAAAAAUGGGGACACACAUGAAAAUUAUAGCUGAAUAAUUGCAUUUAUGGCCUAAAGUUACAACAGCCAGAAAAGUCGCAGAUAAGACAGGGCAUGCUUUUUACUGCAGAAUUUCCUGACUGUUUGGUUUCUAUCUCAUCCUUAAUGCUAUCUCAGUGCUAUUUUAGCCUGUGAAUUGAAUUUUCUUUUAAUUUGAGCAGAUCAUAUAUUCAUUUGUAGAUGCUCUAUCUUCAUCAAUCAAUACAUUACGCCAGGCAGCUUCAUCUCCUCCUGAAAGAUAACCUUGGAUUAUGUCAUGGCUCAAUUCCGCAUUGCCCCUGCAGAGAUAAUGAAUUCGCACAUGUAAGAGGAUCAUUUACCAAUGGGGGUGGGAUGCUGUUUUGAGCAUAUCAUUUCCAUCUGCCACAGAAUGAUUCCAUUUGCACAAAUCAAUCUCCUGGAGGAGGAUUUCUUAGCUACAGUAAGCACACUGUAGGCACUGUGUAGCAGAGUGUGUCGUCUGACAGGAGAGAAAGCAGGGAUCACAUUGCUGUUGCCCCUGAAAGUCAUAGCUUUGCUUCCCCUCACACCAAGCUCGAGAACAAUUCAAGGAUGGGGCAAACAAGGCCUUCCUUCUCCUUUUGAGGGGCUGUGGCUCUUCAGAGGUGAGAGGAGGAAUGCUUUCUUGUUCGGGUGGUCUGGUACAAGCACAGACAUAGCUGAACCACUUCCAAAAAGGCUCAGUCCUAACUGUGACAAACUCUGUCAGAUGCAAAAACAGGUACUGCUGUGAGAUGGCCUCUUUCGUACAGACUUAAGAUUCCAUUUAAUGGCUCCCAGAGGAGAAUUGAGCCAGUAUUUAAUUAAUGUGACUAAAAUUAUGCAUUUCAUCAACUGUACACCAUAUUAAUCGCACAUAUCACAUUGAAAAAUGAUGCUCUUCAAGCAACUUCGCUUUUAUGGAGUAAAGUUUGCAAGAGCUAGUGCAAAUGAAUGCCUAAGAAAGGCGUGGGCUCCCGGUGUGAACAAGGAACAGUCACAUACCAGUUCAGUGACUGCAAGUCAGGCAUCAAUAGCCAAUGUAAAGUAGAUCAUAUUACAUAUUACACCAGUUAUCAUAUGCCAGCAAGGACAAAUUAUGCACAAGGAGAAAGGAAUGAUAGCAAUAGCUGAGUGUCUUAUGGGCUAUGAGUAUUUGCAUCCCCUGCAAAAUUUUGGAAGAAUUGCAUCUGCACUUGUUCUGGUGUUGUCCUCCAUCUUAGGCACGAGACAGUGGUGAGUUUGCAAGAGCAGGACAGGACCUACUUGAGUUGUGUGGGUGCUGCUUAGUGGAGCCACCUUUCUUCCCAAGUGCCUGUAUGUGCGUAUAGCUCAAAAAUCAUGGGUAAAGUACGGUUUCAAGGAACUCACUGGAUCCCGCCAUUUCAGUUCUAAGUGUUGCAAAGAAAACAAAGGCUCCCUCAGUUCAUUUGCAACCAUAAAUUUCAUUUUCUAUAUAGACCUCUGAAGACCUGUAGCGUGUUUCUAGGUGUAGCUGCUGUUGGACUGGAAGUUUCUGUGGCUUCUCCACUUACAUGGAUUGUCAUAGUAUAUGCAGGGUCAGAAGCAACCUUUGUCUUGGUGGUAUAUUGUGCGCAUUCAUGCAAUGUGUGGGGAGGACAGAAGAUCUCAAUUUAGUGCAAAUUACAAAUUACAGGCAAACAUUUCAUUUGGUAUCCUUUCACAUUCAUAUUCAGAAAAAAAUUGUAUUUUUUUUACACAAAGCCCACUUUUUCUGUCGUAUUUCAAUCUAUUGCAUGUCAUUGUUCAGUCCACAUUGUGUAAUGCUGUGAUCAUAUCAGCUGUCAUAAAGGAUAAUUUAGUAAUAACAAAAUGUGUCCUGAUGCAGCUUGACAAGAUGAAAUUUGCAAAAAAUAAAUAUGGUUCCUGGCCAAUAUGCAUUCACUGUAAUGACUUCAGGCAUCCCUCCCUUAAUGAAUUACAAACCAACAAUAGUCUUCUGAUUGGUUUUUGGCUGCAACAAACAGGGAAUGGUAUGACUAUUAAAUAUCUAUGGGACAUACUUCACACUGGCGUACAGACUUAUGGAGAGGUGACACAUAUACCAUGUAGUUCUUAACAGGUUAUCCUGAUUACUUCUUCUGGUUCUCACAGGUAGGCAAAAAGUAUGAAUUCACUGGAGCAGAUUUUUCUUUUGGAAAAACAUAAAUCAAUCUGAAUUCAUUGAAACUGUGUUUUUUUUUUAAGAGAAAGUGUUCAUAAAUCUUGGAGAUAACUUUUAUUUUUUUAAAAGAUCUAUAUUUUAUGACAGACAGUUUAAAUUUGCACCUGAGACCAUAAUAGUUACUAUGAAAGGAGAAUGGAUAACAAAUGGAAUGGAAGGACUCCCAUUAAGCAUAAAAUUACUCGACAAGAACCACCGUGAAUCAAUUAAUCAUAAUGUAACAGGACUUUAAUUUUGGGGCAUUCUCAAAAUCCAAAAUGUUUACAUCAUUUUUCAUUGUAACAAAUAUGAUUAUCAUUGUUUACAGCUGAUGAAACACAUGAUUUUUAUCACAGUAAUUAAAUACUUGUUCAAUUGUUUUGAUUUUUUUUUAAAUUUAUUUUCUAGUAGUCUUCAAAUUGAAUUCUAAGGCUAUCUAUAAGGCUGUCUAAAGGAGACUGUGACAAUGAUGCCCUUCCACCCUUUAGAUCGUGUGCAAAAAGGAUCAGAAAAAUGAAUUUACAGGACAGCAUGAUCAUGCAAGACAUAUCUGUAGUUUAGAGUAAGGCUUGGAUCCAGGUUUGUUGCAGAGAAAUAACAUAAGGCAUUUAGGACUACAGUAAGACUAUUAUAAAUAGAUAGUUUUAUUUCAUAGAAUCAUAGAAUGGUUUGGGUUGGAAGGGACCAAUAAGAUCAUCUAGUUCCAAGCUCCCUGAUGUAAGCAGGGACACCUCCCACUAACCAGGUGCUCAAAGCCCCAUCCAGCCUGGCCUCAAUGCCUACAGAAAGGAGGCAUCCACAACCUUGCUGGGCAACCUGUUCCAGUGUCUCACCACCCUCACAGUAAAUAAUUUCUUCCUAAUAUCCAGUAUAAAACUACCUUCUUCCAGUUUAAAGUCAUUUCCCCUCAUCCUGUUGCUACGUGCUUUUAUAAAAAGUCUUUCCCUAGCUUUCCUAUAGGCUCCCUUCAGGUACUGGAAGGCCACUAUAAGGUCCUCCUGGAGACUUCUCUUCUUCAGGCUGAAGAACCCCAACUCUCUCAGCCUCAUUUGAAUGAGAAUAUUAUUUUGUCACCAGUGCUUCAGAUUUGUCCCUCAGUUAUUUAUCUCAGUAUUAUUUAAACAUUCAAAAUUAUUGACACCUUCAUAUGCCAGCUAACAGGACUGCAUAUUAUUCAAGAACAGGUAGAUACAGAUAGGUAUAUUAGCUGUGUGACUGCAGAGGGCAGACUUGGCAUCACCAGUAUUUUUAUUUACAUGGAUUCACUCAGUAAGGAAUGCUAAUUAUUCAAAUAGCCUAAAAGAAGGUUCCUGAUUAUUGUCCCAUGGAAACAAAUGAUGCCAAAACCAAUUUUUGAAGAUAAUUUUCUUUGCAUUUUUUUGCAGAUUCCUAUUAAACUAAAAUUUUGAAAUGUAAAAUAGAAAUAAGAGCUUAAAGAAAGAAAACACUGAGGGCACUAACUUGUUUCAAAUUUUAUUUUAAAACCAAACAAAAAAAAGAAAAAAGAAGAAAAAAUAAAAAGAAAAAGGAAAAGAAGAGAAAAGAAGAAAAAAGAAGAAAAAAGAAAAAGAGAAAAGAAAAGAAAAGAAAAGAAAAGAAAAGAAAAGAAAAGAAAAGAAAAGAAAAGAAAAGAAAAGAAAAGAAAAGAAAAGAAAAGAAAAGAAAAGAAAAGAAGAGAAAAGAAAAGAAGAGAAAAGAAAAGAAGAGAAAAGAAAAGAAAAGAAGAGAAAAGAAAAGAAGACCAAUCAACCAACCAAACAAAACAGCCCUUUUUUUGAGCAGCCCAACUUACCACCCUUACCAUAGUGAAUCAGAUGCAGUGAACAAUAAAACCCACAAAUGCCUGACACACAUAUUGCUGAGAAGGCUUAAGGAAAUACCAAAUGCAGAUCUUCACUCUCUGACAAGCAUGUGCUUCUAGCAUACUGUGUACUUCCAGCUCUGUAAGUUUGGAUAAUUCCAUUUGUGAGGUAGUUUUAAUGCAAACCAUAUCUAGAUACCCAAGUAGGUGGCUCUCUAUAUGCCAGACACGGUGAUAUGUUUCAUUAAACAAAGCUACCCUUCUUUGGAUAUACAAUAUUUUUUUUAGAGAAAUAUAUAAGAUCUCAGUACUAGUUGCAUUAUUUAGAGUUUGUAUACCUCAUGGAAUGUGACAUAAAUAUUAUUUCUUUAAAGCAACCAGAAAAGGCUAUUUGUCUCUUUUAGUAUGACUCAUACAAUAAUUCAAUUUACAUACUUAAAUCAAAUGAAUCGUCUGUCUCAUGCUAACUUCUUUCAACCUCUUUUAUUAUGAUAUAAGUUGUUUGUUUUGUUUCCAAAAUCUAAUACUCCAUCUCCCUUGUACUAUCAGUGUGUAUGAAUAAUGAAUAUUUGGUGCCUUUUAAUACCUCUUAGUUUAUCAUAACAGGCAAUGUCUUACAUCACAGCCAAUUUCAUUGAUUAUAUGCAAUUUACUGAAUAUGUAUGUCAUCUAGCCUGUAUUAGGCUGGGUUAUGACUGUAUAUAUAUGAACACUGCCAGCUGCUUUAGCACUUACAAGCUCCUGAUUAGCCAAAUUACAGUCUUGGACUUAACAAGACACAAAGAUAUGCUUUGUGCUCCUUAUGAUACUGCUCUUUGGAGAAAUAUUUUAGUACCUUUGGAACCGGCCAUAGCAUUGAAAACAUAAAAGCUAAUGGCCUUUAUGACUGAGAAACCAUGAAAGAAAUGCUGAUGUGCACAGUAAGUUAAAAUUAACACAGGUGCUUACAAUGCUUUUCCAUCAGCACAAAGUCCUUGAUUUAGAAGGCCUUAAGGUAGAUGGUUAAUUACUUGCUGAAUCAGGUUGAGAAUGCUUAUACAAAAGCCUUUGCUAAUUUGGAGGAAGAAAAGUUCAAGGCAAAUAUGUUUCAAGCUUUGGAAUGUGUAUGGAACUUGUGACAAAAUGAACAGAGUAAUUCCUGUAUCAGUGGGAGGCACUUUCCAUGCCUGUGGCCCGCAGGUUACCUGUGGGUUUUAAAAACAUGAUCCUCCAUCCUUAAUUCUUCCAAAGCAAGACUAUUGGUGGGAGGACAACAUCAGGAUCUUACCUGUGAGGCAGGCAGGUGUGGAUUUAUGAGGUGUAGAGAGAUUAGCUGCCAUUCAUCGUUACCAACCUGUGGCUCUUUCUAAACCUCAGGGUUUGGAGGGAAGGGGGAGCUAGGAGAUUGAAAAGCCUUUCCACAGAUAUUGCUGUAGUUUCCAAUACUUGCUUCCAGUACCAAGGCAGCCUCAGUUUUAUGGGUUGCUGGCUUCAAGUGGGCAUACUUUAUGGCCAGUCAAGUUCCAGAAUGUCCAGUUGCCUCUCUGAAGGGAUCAGCUUGGCCUUUCCUGGGGGAUCAAGGUAGGCAAUGGACCAUGGAGAGGCUUUUGUUCCAAUGGGAGCUGUCCUGGAGCCAGAAGCAAGGCAGAAGGAAAGAGGGAGAAGUUCUCAUCCUGGGCAACUUGGCUUUCUCAUGUGGCCAAGAGCUCUUUUUUUUUUUUUUUUUUUUUUUUCCAUGGGUAAGCCCAGUGUGCUGAUGAACCAUGACAGAUUAUUCAAGAGCUUGUUUCCAAGGAAUAGUAAACAUAAAGGGCAGUGGGGUUCGUGAGUUAACAGUUGCAUACAUCAGAGUGUGGCACUCCUCUGUAGGUAUGUGACUUAGGAAAUCAGAGAAAGGUGCUGAAAAUCUUCCCGACAGAAAGCCCUGGUACACACAAAAAUUUCCAACUAUAUCCCAUCACCAGUGAUGAGGUCCCAAGUGCUGGCCCACAUCAUCGUGAUCGGGAUGGAAGAGCAAAAGAAGGCAGGGGAACCCGGGUCAGGUGCAGCUGUGGCCCUACUUAGGAAUUUUGUUGUAGAGCCAUCAGAGAAUUUCUUCCCUAGGAAACAUGGUGAGGUCAUGCAAGUGCUCAGAUCAGGCUCCAGUUGAGUCUUAUACUGAUUAGCAAAAGAUUUAAUUUCACUCUGAUUAAAAAAGAGCAGAUGAAGAGGUAUGCUGAAUAAUCCCUACAGGCAUGUAUCAGCUCCUAGGCAAACCUUUUUAUUCUGCUAUGGUGUAUGACAAAAGCUCUAAAUUUUAACUUGACAUUUUUUUUCUGAAGGGCCCUUUUCCAUAAAUUUCCCAGGCUCUUGUUUUUGAGAUUGUUACUGUGCAGAAAGAAAACAUCCUUGCUGCUUGCUUAUUAGAAUAUAUUUAUUUAUCUGUACCAUACAACAAACCUUAUUUAUUUUCCUACAUUCAUAUAGUAAAUCCUGUAAAUAUGCUCUUAGUAAUCACCAACAUGAUUUUCAGGACUGUAAUUCAUAAAUGAAACUCAUGAAAAAUAUUUUUGUCCGUUUUAAAUAACUCUACACAUUUAAUACAUUGAGUCAUAUGCAAAUUUGAUUAAGGGAGAUAUUAUCUUCCUCUUGCUGGAAGUUUCACUCAUAAAUGAGAAGAUUAAUGUUUGUGAACAACUUUUCAAAAAAUCAGCUCGUCACAAGUUCUCUUUCUGCCUGCAAGAAAUUGAACUCCAAAAUAGGAUGGCACAAGUUAUGUUUCUACAUUUUCCAUUCCUUAGUAUAUCCACUACCACAAGAAAAUGUUGAAAUACUUCUGAACUAAGAUACAUCUGACGGGUUCCAAGGGCUAUAAAGCAAUGUUCUAGCUUAAGGAACACACUGUUAGACACAGAGCUAUUGUUUAAAAGUGAAACAACCCACAACACACAAAAAAGUUGUGGACAGCUACAACUUACGUAAGCUAGUAGCCAAACAAUGGGUUGUUCUCAUACAACAUUAACACUGACAUAAAUUCAUGGAUUUUAAGGGUUUCUGUCAAACAAAGAUUUUAGAACAUUUUGCUGGAAAUAAAUGCAUAGAUACAAGAGUUCAUCUAUGCGUGCAUAUAAUCAGAGCAAUGGUAUACAUACAUAUUUCCUAGUAAAAGAGAAGUAUACACUAAUGUGAAGAAAAAUAUAUUGCUCAAUAGUCUUUUGAAAGAAUUUCAUCAAAGUCCCUUUGACAUUUAAUAUCAUGGUGAUCUGUAAUCAAAUCUGGGACAAAUUUAGCACUCCCAUGUCUUCUUUAUUAAACGUAGGUGGUUUUCCUGCAUACCUUAAUAAAACAAUGGGAAUAGGACUUCCACUCUAGUUCAUGAGGGCAACUCCAGAAAUUUCUGAAACUCAUUCCUAAUUUAUUCCAUUUGCAGCUGUUUCUUUAAGGUUUCUCUUCUUUUAUCAGAAGAAACGUAGGAAUAAGGAACACUUCCAAGUAAUAAGUACACACCUAAUUUAUUACACCAGGAAAAGCAAUGUUCAGAGGCUCCAUGAAAGAAAUCUCACUCAAGUAGAUGAGUUGUUUCAUAUAAUGGCUUUUUGUUAUUGUUGUGCUUUGCUUUUUGUUUUCUGUUUUUUAUUUUUUGUCAGCUUCUCUCUUUAAUAACGGGCUUUUUUCUUCAUUGACUUCUUGCUGAACUCCUUUGUAGAUCUGUCACAUCAGAUUAGCUUGUUCAUGUUCACAAUGCCCUGUCUUCUGGAGAGUUAUGCCUGUAAGGAGAAUAAAACUCAUCCCUCAACUUCAAGCAGACAGAAAACACACCUCUGUCCAAGUUUCUCCAAGGCCCUUUUGUACAUAGAGCAGCGUGUUUCCAUAACAGAUGUUAUAAUGACAUUUCUCUCCCACUGCUUUCCAUGUGAGACGAAUGUGAAGGAGGUUCUUCAGAGGAGGUUUUUUUUUUUUUUUUCCAGUUAAACAAGGAGAACAGACACACUAGCACUCUAAAAUAUUUUUGAGCCACCCCUAUUGUGCAUCCAGUGGUCAGGAGCAAACUAAAUGCAUCCUGGGGCUUGAGGGUGACUUUCAGCCUGACAGAUUGAGGUCGUCUAGCACAGUUCGCCAAGUACUUGCACGUUCAGUAAAUCUCUUCAUUAGGGUACUCCUCCCUCUUUAGAUCUCCCAAGCUAGAAAAGCACAUUUGCAAAGACAAGUUGCUGCUGGUUGAAGCCCUUGGGCCAGUGAGUGGGUGGAGUGGCUGCCAUGGUUGUGUAAGGCUCUGGGCCACACAGCAAAAGCAGGGACCAAAGUCACUCACUGUGGAGCAGGGGUGAGCCUGGGGAGCAGACAGGAUGGCCAGCCAGAGGCUGCUGCCCACAGCAAGCUCUCCUUUUUGUGCUGUGGGACAGUUCAGUCAUUAUCUUCUCCCUCACCCACUCCCACCCCAUCUCUUUUUUAAUUUAACACAGAGGAUGAAAUUUUGGCUCAAUGUAAAUAGGAUUUUUACCACUGAUUUCAAUAUGGCAAGAAUUUCAUCUAAACCCUCCAUGCCUCACUGAAGACAAUAACACAAAGAACACUAUUUUGGAACGGAGAAAGGCACCGUAUUUGUGAUCUGCUUUGUUUAUUGUGUUUGGGGGCUUCAAGAUGUAGUCACCCACCCACUUCUUUAUUAAAUGUUAAUUUGGCUUUUGAAAGUUUUACAAGCUACAGUAAAACAAUAAUUAAAAGUUUGUACGCAAUUUCCAUAGCUGGUUUUCAUUCCUCAGGGAGUAUUAAUUCUGGUUUAAUUUGUUUUUCAUUUUCAUUGUGCAACUAAACACAGUUUGUUUUUAAAAGGAGGAUCAAACUGAUGCUGAAAUAUGCAUACAUGUGUUGGCAGGCACUUCUCAAGAAGGACUGCAACCUGUGAACUUGGACCUCAAACAACAAAUGUGCAGAGCUCACAUGAACUUGAAGUUGCCCUUUUUUUUUGUGACAUCUAUAAACAUUUAUGAAGCUUUGUUUUUAUUCCAGUAAAUCUAUGUUGUUAUUUUGGGUCUUUUAAUAGUGUCUAUUUAUAUCGUGAAAUCAUGACAACUGCGUUGUCUUUCUGGAAAGCCACAGGUCAAGGGUCUGCUAAGCAAAUACUAACACAUGUGAGUAACUUCCCUCAUAUGAAUAAUUAGACUGAUCUUAACAGAGUGGUGUUUUUAGGAUCAAGCUCCCAAUAUUUUGACAUACUUCCUGAAAUGUUUUGUAGAUAGGAGCUGUUGACUUUCAUAUGGUGAAAAAAUAAUUUGAACGCCAAAAAGCCCCUCCAAAAGAAGGGAACAUAUUUGGGUCAUCAGGUCUUAACAAUUACAGUUUCACGUGUUAGCUUUCUUUUCCUAGGUACAAGAAGUGUUGGAAGAACAUUUACUCAGAAGAGAUCAAGUAGAAUUACUGUCAAAGGUUUGUGUAAGUUAGCAUAUAUAAUGCUUCCCCUGGUUGUAUGCAAAAACAUUUGGAGAUCUCUGUAUUUUUUUCCCCUCAUCUUCUAGGAAAAAUGAUGGAAUUAAUUACUACAACUGGGAUAUAUUAAAUUUUAUAACUUAUAUCAUGUACCUUUGCCAUGAAGAAAUAGAAAAAUGUAUACAUGGGAACAUCCCUUUAAUGAUAAGAACUACAAAAAUUCAUGCUUCCUAUGAUAAAUAUUAUUCUGUAUUUAAGGCUAUGCCUGGAUAUACUUCCUCUGUAGUGCAUGUGUUAUGAAAGUAAACAGAAUUCUGAGACAGAAUUCUGAUCAUACAAAGUGUACAUAAACUUGAAGUUGUGUGGAAUAGGCAUCUUUCCUUAAAAAGAGAAUUUCCUCAUCAUCUACUGAGAUAUUAAAUUGAUUCUUGGAAAGGUUUUUGUGAAUACACUAAUCCAUUUUUUCCUGCCAUUUGCACAGAUUCUUGGUGUGUUAGAAUGCAAUUCCAGUAAAAACUUCUCUCAGAAAAGCAUGUCAGGAACAAAUUAGCUCUUUACUCUUUAUUGAAAUAUAUUCAAGGGUUUGCCAUGUUGUCUUCUGUACCUUAUUCUCAAAAUAAAUAUUUUAUACUUAUGCUUAACUGCUGCUAGUAAAUUGCAGAAAUUUUUUGCUUAAGUUCAUUCUUGCAAUAAAGGUGGAAAAGUUUUGUAAUAGCUUGAGUGCAAAUUAAUAUCUAUGAAUGUCUGUAUCUUUUUCAUUUUUAACCUGAUAUUAAUUAUUUCCUUUAUUUUACCUUGCUAAAAUAUCCUGCUUGAAAUAUUUCUUUAAGUAAAAUUCCACAAAGCUUGCAAAGAACCUGCAGUCCAGGUAGCAUACCAUUCCUGAUGGCAGAAAGAGCAUACUGUCCAUUAAUGUUGAGUCCUGUGCGUGGUCUGUCCGGUGAUACACAAUGUCAUUUAAGACAUUUCAUCAUUCUCUGCUUGAGCACUCUUCUCUAAUCUGAUGAGGUACCCUGGGAAGAAACAAUGAUAGCCAAGGCAUUAAAAUGUAAUCAAGAUAUGCAAAUUCAUGUCUAAAUGUGAUUUGCUUGGAAAGAGAAAUUAAUCUAGGCAUGGCCAAAUAAACAGUGUGUAAUAUGGAUAAUUAAUCACCAAAUUAGCAGCUGUAGUCCCAUGAGAAGAUUAUGUAAAUGAAAAAGGCCCCCAUCUACGGUCCCAAUUAGACUACUUAAUACCAAACUCUAAACAAAACACAGCCCCUGGGAGCGCCAUAAAAUAAGGAAGUGAGUCAGUCUGAGUGGGUCAUUCUCCAAGUUUCACAAGCACGUUUCAUAACUACGUUAUUUUUCCUGAUUUACAGAAAGUAAUUUAUCAGUCAGAUAUAUCAGGCUCACUGAACAACUUGUAACCUUGAAAUUCCACUGAAGUUGCUUUACACAAGCCUAAACUUCUGUGCAUACAACCUAAAUCAGCAGUUAAAGAAGACAGGUACUAGAGUGCAAGUCCUUAAUCCCAGGGCCCAGAGUAAUAGGGAUCAAUACUGCAGGUAAAGGUGAGAGCUCCAGACAUAUGCUAGGUGCCCUCUGUGUAUUUGGAAAUUAUAUCCAGCAGUUUCAAUUACUGCUUUACACUUACAUUUCCAUAACAGAUCAGUCCUAUCUUGUUUCAGAAAAUGGUAUUUUCUCCAUAUUUCCAAGUACAAACCUUCCUGAAGUAAGUACUUUCCACUGGUUAACCAAAUUGAGGAUACCUUAUGUGAAUUAGGCUUGGGUAUGGUACUACCUGGCUCAUGACAGCAGAUAGUUUUCCCUGAGGCUGUGCAUCACACUAAGACCAGGACCCUAUCUGGAAUACAUAAAAUAUUAUCAAGUUAAGGAACUUGACCCAUAGGUGAAGGGAUCUAUUCAGCAUUUGAUGUACAGCUUCCUUGAGACACUUCAGUAGGUCUGAUAGAUUCAGCUUAACACUGACUUGACACAGAUGGAAAUAUGUUGACUUUUCUGGACACAAUUUUAGAUGUUUUUUGAUGAAAAAAUAAUAAUCUGACUCUUGUAUUCAUUUACAGUCAAAGCAAUUGUUCAAAUAUCAAAGUUGGCAAGGGAUUUGAAUUUCCAUCUUCUGAUGAACUUUACAUCAUUAAUUCCAUGGAAAGGAUCUUUGUUCAGUGUAGGACAGAAACUGCACAGUGCAUUCUCAGCCAAGAAAAGCAGAGCUUCGCACUUGUGAUCUCUGGUUAUCUGUUACUAUAAGCUUUUGAAGGUGGAAGAUACCCCUGAAAAUACAACACUGUUGCAAACUAACUUAAGGUAGAACUGAUCUGAACAGUCACUGGGAGAGAAUACAAACUCCAUUCGUGGAAAAGAGGAGUUUCCUUUUUUUCUGAAAUGCUUGUGUUGGUCUUUCGAUGCUCUGGACUCCAAAUGACUUUCUACUUACUCUACAUCUGUUCAGAAUAAACUGCACUCAUUUUAUUUAUUUAUUUUUUACUCCUUGUGAAGCUAUUUGUGGAUUCUUUAGGUAAGGUUUUCAAAUAACUUCUUUGUACAGCUAUGUAACACUUGUUAUAUAGCUCCUGUGCAAGGCUUCCAAAGCUGCACAGUAACAAGGUUAGUACAGAAUAUUUUACUCUUCUCACAGUUAACUGACAUACUGAGUGCAGUAGUUUCAUGUUGUGUUAUCAGUACAAUGAGGUAUAUUCCUUUUGCAAACUACAGCAUGAGUUUUCUUGCUAAUGCCGAUUUUGUUUUUGGAUCUGAG
rnacentral:lncRNA from 1 species